AGGACGAACGCUGGCGGCGCGCUUAACACAUGCAAGUAGAGCGAGAACCGAAGCCUUCGGGCAUCGGGGAAAGCGGCGAACGGGUGAGUAACACGUGGGCAACCCACCCUUGGUACCGGGAUAGCCCGGGGGAAACCCGGAUUAAUACCGGAUGGCCCAGCAGCCUUUCGGGGCGGCUGGAAAAGGGAGCUUCGGCCUCCGACCAAGGACGGGCCCGCGGCGGAUUAGCUUGUUGGUGGGGUAACGGCCUACCAAGGCGACGAUCCGUAGCUGGUCUGAGAGGACGAUCAGCCACACUGGGACUGAGACACGGCCCAGACUCCUACGGGAGGCAGCAGUGGGAAUCUUGCGCAAUGGGCGAAAGCCUGACGCAGCGACGCCGCGUGGGGGAAGAAGGCUUUCGGGUUGUAAACCCCUUUCAGGAGGACGAAGCUCCUCGGGUGAAUAGCCCAGAGGGUGACGGUACUUCCAGAAGAAGCCCCGGCUAACUACGUGCCAGCAGCCGC
rnacentral:rRNA from 1 species